ensembl:lncRNA
CAGGAAAUGAGUUCACUUCCGUGGUAUGGUGUGUGCUCUAAGUAACGAACAUGUUUUUGUUUCAAGUGGCUUUAUUAACUUCUGUUUUGCAACUAUAUCAAACAUAUCAAGCAUGUACUGUGGUCAACAUUUCCUGUAACACAUUGAAGAACAAGGAUGGCGAAUACAUGUAUCAAUUCAACAUGUCGCGCGCACUUGAAAUUGAAGUGUACAACAAUACCCAGGCUCUAAUUGCCAUUGUGGAAAGAGACAAGCUGAUUGAGUACAGCAGGGAAGUGAUUGGAAUGAAUACAUCUUCAAUUUUGCUGAGCAACUGCCAUUCUCUGAUCAUCAAAUUCAUAAUUUCUGCUACAAAGAAGCCUGGAAUUGUUGCAAUUACAAGACCCACCAAAAUUAAGGAGAUCUGUUUUCAUUAUGUUGUCACAGAUAUUAGGAAAGAGGUUGGAACAUCAGCACCUUUUAAUUUCACUGAGAUCCAAGACAGAGACAAUCCUGAUACAAACACCGGUUACACCAAUUUAAAAUGGAUAGUCCCUGUGUUGGUGGUUUUAUUGGUUUUCUUUUUAGUGUACUUAUGUCGGAGAGACAAAGAGCGGGUUGACGUGACCAAGGAACUGACUUCUGAUGCACAGAGUUCAGAACGUCCCACAAUGAAUGAAGCAGGAGCACUGCUGUCUCACAGGGAUGGACCCUGUUCAUCAGCUGAGGAAGUAAACUGCUCUGGAGAACAAGCAGGACCAGGACCGAUUUAAUGUGUUAAGCCAGAUCGAAAUAUAUAAUACACACGUAUAGAUUAUAACACAUAACAUGAAACAAAUGUAAACAUAUUUAAAUAUAAUAUGAUAAACACUGUAAUAAUACAGUAUAGUAGGCUAUUAUAUAAUAACAUAACACUUCCCUUGAAGUCGCUUCUUGGUGUGUUAUACAUUUUAAGAAUGCAGUAACUCAGUGUAUAAGGUCUUAAUGUAUAAGCCAUUCAAUACUAAACUGUGUACUGCAGAAGGAUAGUCAAAAUAGUAGUAGCUGUAGUUGCGGGGUCGCCUCCAGCUAUGGUUACUACUGUUCAGGGUCCAAGUUCUACAAAUAACCUAUACUUUGAUUUGAAUACAUAGUUUAUUGUUAGUUUAGUGUUGUUUUCUAAUGGUUUGGAAAAUGUAACAGCAUGGCAAAUGUUUCAUAACUCUGUAUUUCAAUUCUAGAAUGUUGUUUGAUUAUCAAACCUUUGUUAAUCAUUUCAAUUUGUUUUUUAAUUUAGUUUUUGUAGUUUACUUUGAUUUGUACUUUGAUUGCUUUGCUUGCAUUGUAUCAUUUUGAGAUCAACUGAUCAUGAUUUUUCAAUGCCAAUACUGAUUAUUAUUACCAAACUAUCAUUCAGACUUUCAAGUUUAACUUCUUAACAAUAUAUCCUCAGUUAUAUGUGUGUUUGCAGAACACUGCAGUUAUGUUAUUUGAUAAAGAUAAUUGUCAAGUUAUAAUUUUUUAAUUUUAUGUGUAUAUACACUCACCUAAAGGAUUAUUAGGAACACCUGUUAAAUUUCUCAUUAAUGCAAUUAUCUAAUCAACCAAUCACAUGGCAGUUGCUUCAAUGCAUUUAGAGGUGUGGUCCUGGUCAAGUCAAUCUCCUGAACUCCAAACUGAAUGUCAGAAUGCGAAAGAAAGGUGAUUUAAGCAAUUUUGAGCGUGGCAUGCUUGUUGGUGCCAGACGGGCCGGUCUGAGUAUUUCACAAUCUGCUCAGUUACUGGGAUUUUCACGCACAACCAUUUCUAGGGUUUACAAAGAAUGGUGUGAAAAGGGAAAAACAUCCAGUAUGCGGCAGUCCUGUGGGCGAAAAUGCCUUGUUGAUGCUAGAGGUCAGAGGAGAAUGGACCGACUGAUGUGCAUCCCACAAAUCUCCAUCAACUGCAAGAUGCUAUCCUAUCAAUAUGGGCCAACAUUUCUAAAGAAUGCUUUCAGCACCUUGUUGAAUCAAUGCCACGUAGAAUUAAGGCAGUUCUGAAGGCGGAAGGGGGUCAAACACAGUAUUAGUAUGGUGUUCCUAAAAAUCCUUUAGGUGAGUGUAGGUGUUCUAGGUACAUGGUAAGUGUAAACCACAAUAUUGCGCUCUUUCAGUUGUGCUUCUGAAGAGAAGGUCCACGUGGCUUGAGAGCUGACAGUUAUAUGUUUGCUAAACUCUGUAUAAAAAAAAACUUCCACAUCAGACCAGCCCAACUGUUGGAGUCCAAUCUUUUUUAUUACUAAACAACACCAAACACAUCAUGCUCCAAGUCAGAAACCACUUCUCUAUUUAUACUUUUUGCUGUAUCAAAUAUUACAUUAUUG